CACUCCUUUUCACGACGCCGUUUCUGGAUCUGUUAAAUCAGCUUCUUCCUUCGUCAACGACGACGAUGAUGAUGACGGUGAAGCUGCUUCUUGGCUUUUACCUAAAGAAGGAGGAGAAACUGAGAUCUCUAAAUUUUUUACCGAUCUUGAGUAUCCGAAGAUUGAGGUUACCUCGGAGGAGAAUAGCUCCGGUAACGAUGGAGUCGUUCCUGUUAACAACAAAUUAGUGUUUCUCAAUGACGAUUACUUCAAUAUCGAAAUCUCUGCUUCUAAAGGAUUCAAUUUCAUCAAUCAAUCUGUACGAAUCAUCUCUUUAUCUCUUGAAAUUUUUCAGAUCUGGAAAAAUGAAUUUUAGAUCUGAGUUGAGUUUUUUUUUUUUUCUGUAGGAUUUGUCGAGAUCUUUAGAUGUAGCGUUGGUUCCUGAAAGUGGAGGAGGAGCUACGACGGUGACGGUGACGACGCCAGUAGUGCAGUUGUCGCCGGCGGAGAGAGAAGCGAGGGUUUUGAGGUAUAGAGAGAAGAGGAAGAAUAGGAAGUUUGAGAAGACGAUAAGGUAUGCGUCGCGUAAAGCUUACGCUGAGAUGAGGCCGAGGAUUAAAGGACGUUUUGCUAAGCGUACUGAGUCGAGAGGUGACGAUGGUGGUGGAGACGGCGGAGUUUAUGGCGGUUUCGGC
rnacentral:lncRNA from 1 species